ACGGUCUCUCCGCGCACGUCAUCUCUUCGCAAAGCCACUGCUCGAUUUCUUUCGCGAAGAUUUGGGUUCGUUCUUCAUAGACUUCAACGUGGUUAAGGAGCUUAACAAAUUUGAAGGUAAGGGAUUUUCUACUGGACUUACUUAUGAUUGUGAAUUGUAUGUCUGAAUGAUUAUCUUUGACUGAGUAAAGAUGUUGAGAUGAUACUUAUGUUUAUACACGUAUGGGUGUAGAUUCGGUGCUGAAUGUACACUGUGGAUUGACUGAAAAUAUAUAUACAUAUGCAUAGGAAUUGAAGUAGACUUAA